CUCCGUUGUGCAGAUUUUAAUUACACGUGAUCUGUGCUUUUCUGUGACUCAAGGUAUCAAAUGCAUCUUUUCAUGCAUCCAACGAGCCCUUGAGUUGACUCCUGUUUUGCUGGAUGAAUUUCAGCCUUGUUUCAUUUUCAUUUCAUGCACUGGUGUACAAAUUUCUUAUCAGCUCCUUGCCAGAGUAGUGUGUGUACCAUGCUGAGGAACUGGAUGUCAGGGCAGUAUAAAAAUAGAAUUGCUUUUCAUUGGCUGGGCUUUAGGAAUGGACAGUGAACUGAAAAACCUGUUACAUCCCAGCCUCCAUUUCAUAAGUUUCUCAGCUGCAGGAUGACAGACCUUGAUUGGAGUGAGGGCUGGAUUUUGUACCAUCUUCUUGAGGGAUCAAACAGCAGAGGCUGGAAAAGCAAACAUAUGAGCCUGGGCGAUAUGGCACAGGAGUGAAGGCUCCUCACUCCCUUGGCUGCUGCUCUGAGCACAACAAAGAAAAUCUCUUUCAAAAUACGAUACAAUGACUGUCUGAAGCCUAUUCAAACCAGUGCAGGACAAACCUCAGAAGGGCCUGAGGUUCUGUUUGGCUCAGAUAAGCUUCAGAAAGCAUCCAACUGUUUUGAUGAUUAUCGGAAACUCUUGCAUCUGCCAGACUGGGCUGGAAAACUUGUCAGAAGCUCCCAGCUUUCUUAGGAGAUUUUUGCUACUACCUGCUUUGAGCCAGAUGCACUUCUGGAAAGGCCUCAGUAGUGAAGAUGAGUGGCACACUAGAAAGAACUAAAAUGGAUGGAAGUGUUCGAGCUCCAAGGAAUGUGGCCCUUCAUUUUCUGAUUCCAGCUGGGAAGAGAUGAUAGAGAAGUGUGUGCAAAGGAGGAACAGCCGUUGCCUUUUAGAUCUCAGUAGCAACAAUAAAAUUUCCAUUCUUCCUUCUAGCUGCCAGGCUUUUCAUUUUUGGGCCAGUUGUACUUCUCAUGCAGACUAGAACAGAGUGUGAUCUCUUCUUGCCAUUCUAC